rnacentral:tRNA from 1 species
GCAUUGGUGGUUCACUGGUAGAAUUCUCGCCUGACACGUGGGAGACCCUGGUCCAGUUCCUGGCCAAUGCA